rnacentral:lncRNA from 1 species
UACAUUUAUUCUCUUUCUGAAUGGGAUUCUGACUCAUGCUCGGUUGAGUCUGUGGAUUGAGAACUCUUGGGUAAGGAGUGCUGACUAUUCAUGAAUCCUCACCAUUUUCAUGAGGCAACAGAGGCACAGAGAGGUCUAGAGACUUACUCUGGGUCGCUCAGCAGGUGAGCCACAAGGCUGGGAUCCUUGACCAUUUCUGGACCUGUCUGCUCCCCAUCCUCAUCAGGAGUCCCACUCAGGGCCUCAGGACUCAGAGAUGCUGAGAGUCGGUCUCCUCUCCUCAUUCCAUGAUGACUGCAGCUGGGAGCUCUGUUUUCUCUGUAUUUCCUUUCAGUUUAUAUGACUGAAUGUUUGGUCAUAUUUCAAUGUGCUCAGAGAGUUGUACCUUUUUAUUUCUUGCAUAGGUGACCAUGGGGCAACAACAGAUGCUGAGAGAUCAAGGCAACCACCAAAUGAAAGCUGUGGCCCCAUCAAUGUGAAAAGUGAACCCAUGGAAGAGUCUGGCAUUUCACCGAAGGCACCAGCUGUGUCAGUGAAGGAAGAGUCAGAAGACCCUAAUUACUGUGUCUAUAAUGUGCAAGAAAACCGCUGCUCUUCUGCAAGCCGUGAAGUAAUAGGAGCAGAGUUACCAAUGGAAGGUUAGAAAAGUGAAGCUUUCUUUUUCUCUCCCUCCCUCCCUCUCUCAAUUUCUCUCCUUCCCUCUUCUCUCUCUCUCCCUCUCCCCUGUCCCUCCCUCUAUUUUGGAGUUUGCAGUAUUUUGUAGAGAACACAGUCUUAAACAUGUAUGUUUGAAAAUAAACAGUGACUUCCUGACUUGCCUGUCUCA